AGAGGCAGACGAUAUCACUGACUUUUGUGAUAGCUUGACGCUCCUGAAGAACAUUAACACAACAUCUGUGCCUUUACUUGAGAUGACCUGGAGCAUCUGUCGGACGUCACUAAACAGCCACUACUUGAAAUGGCCUUUUCUUAUGCUGGCACUGGAGGGGCUGUGCAUGUGGUCAGGCUUUGUCACAUGUACCUACUAUG